AGCUCCAAUAGCGUAUAUUAAAGUUGUUGCGGUAAAAAAGCUCGUAGUUGGAUUUCUGUCAAGGAAGACCGGUCCACACAAUGUGUGCGCAUCUGGCUCGGCCUCGGCAUCCUCUCGACGUACGUUUCUGCGCUUGAUUGCGUGGUGCGGAUUUCGGGACUUUUACUUUGAGGAAAUUAGAGUGUUCACGGCAGGCUAUCGCCAGAAUACAUUAGCAUGGAAUAAUACUAUAGGAUCUCGGUUCUAUUUUGUUGGUUUCUAGAGUUGAGAUAAUGAUUAAUAGGGACAAUUGGGGGCAUUCGUAUCAACACGUCAGAGGUGGAAUUCUUGGAUUGUGUUGCGACGAACUACUGCGAAAGCAUUUGCCAAGGAUGUUUUCA
rnacentral:rRNA from 1 species